rnacentral:rRNA from 1 species
AUGGUCCGUUGUCCAAACAUUUGCACCCAAAGAUUGGUAUCGCCGUCCCUUAAGAAGCUCAGCAUGUGGGGUUCUGGUCUCUUUAGCCACAUUGAGUGCUGCCCCCUCACCUACUUUCAUUUGAAAUGUGAGUUUGUCAUGUCCAUCCAAUUACAAAUGUGGUGUCUUCCAGCUCUACGGAAGUUGCACAUUGAGUGCACAUCUCUUACAUCAAUUGGAGGCUCCGCAAACCUGUCCAUUUCUGCAGACACUGGCAGCAUUACUACAUUCUCAUCCCUUAAUGUCCUAACAGUUACAUGUUGUGCUAAAUUGUCAACCCUUGAUGGCUCCUAA